rnacentral:rRNA from 1 species
UACAGAGGGGGCAAGCGUUGUUCGGAAUUACUGGGCGUAAAGGGCGCGUAGGCGGCCUGUUAAGUCGAACGUGAAAUCCCUGGGCUCAACCCAGGAACUGCGUCCGAUACUGGCAGGCUUGAAUUCGGGAGAGGGAUGCGGAAUUCCAGGUGUAGCGGUGAAAUGCGUAGAUAUCAGGAGGAACACCGGUGGCGAAGGCGGUUCUCUGGGCAUGUUCUGACGCUGAGGAGCGAAAGUGUGGGGAGCGAACAGG